GCCUACGAACGCAUCACCCUGAAUGUGCCUGAUCUCGUCACAUCUUGAAAGCUACUCAGGCUUGAGCCUGGCCCAUACUUCGACAGGAGACUGCCUGGGAAUACCAGGUGUUCAAGGCC
rnacentral:rRNA from 1 species